UUCAUCCAACUCACACAGAGUUCAUUAUUGUUCCUCAUAAAUCUAUCAUGGUUUGUAAAUUUUGUUCAUGUUUUUCUCAAACUUUCAAUGAGUAUGACGUCUCGCUUGCUUAAAUGAAGCGUAGGUAUUGGAUAUGUGCUCCAAAUGAGGCAUUUUUGGUAAGCAGAACUGGCACUGUGGGAUGAACCAAACGUUGAGUUAAAGUGCCAAAUUUUUCGCUCAUGAGAGACCCCUUUAAUACUGAUGUUUCUUAUGAAUACAAUUGGCUUUAUUAGAGAUAACUUCUGG
rnacentral:ncRNA from 1 species